CAUGGUUCUGCUAUUAGCAAUUUGUAUAUAUGUUAGAUACUUUCGCAAGAAGAAUGGAGAAGAAGAGUCUAAAUUGCCACCAGAAGAUUCAAUGUCACCUUCAACUAAAGAUGGUAUAUGUACAACUUUCGUACUCAAAUUCCUUGCAUGACCCUUACCUCUUAAAUAUAGUGAAUGAACUGUUCCAUUAUUCAUGAGCUCAACUUAUUUUUAAAGUGUCUAGUGAACAACAAUGGACGAAGAGGGUUGAUUAAUCGCUAAACUUUCUCGACACAAUUACUUUCCUCCAAGACGGGUUAAUAACUUAUUGAGCAAUGGGAUACGCAGAUGAACCCAACAAAUAAAUAUUCAUAUUGUUAUAAUUCUGUAAAGAAAAAACAGGUUGUUAUAAUAACAGCAUAAUACAAAUUACCUGAAAAAUGAUAAAAGUGGUUAGUUUUCUACCAACGUUACUUUAUACUGUGAAAUUACCUUUUCAUUAUAUUCAAUGUACAUAUUUAUUAAAAACUACAUUUCGAAUAUAUUCUUCGGCAACUCAAGGUAAAACAAGGGUCAAGAUUGUAGGUUGUACAUAUUUAAGUAUUAUUACAUCCACAAACAAAAAUUAUUCGGGUAAAAAAAAUAAAUAAAUGCAGGUACUUUAAUUAUUUUAAAUAUACACAUGAUUUAUAUGUUCCUAAAAAUGAUGUGUCUAAAAUUAACAAAGAUAUUUUAUGGUUAAUUUAUUGAGCUUAAUUAGUUAAAGUCAUUUUUUAAAACGAGACAUUGUAGUUGUUAGAUAUAAAUAAUUUCCUUUUCAUCAAAGUUUGAAUAAUUGAGUUACCUAACCCAAUAUCAUGCUUUAUUCUUAAUAAUUCAAAUGUUUUUCAUAUAUAUGGAAUCAGUGAUGGUAUUAAUUAGUUCCCAAACUAAUUUUUCAUAUAUGUUUUUGUCUCUGAAAGUUGCUUUUUUGUCCAUGUUUUAGUUUUGGUAAUUAAGUUUGUUCAUAUUAAUUAGUUCUAAUGUGUGUACUAUAUAGAUCAUACUAAUUUUGUUCCCAAACUCAUCUUAGUUAGGAUCUUUGUAUCUACUAUAAGAUUAAUCCUUGUGUCGAUAUAAGAAUAUUCGUCAUGUUAUCAACUAUCACAAUAUUGUAUUGGUGAGAUCAUAUAAGAUUUGAUGUCAACAUCUUCUUCAAGGUCUCAGGUUCGAUUCUCCCCAGUAUCAAUUUACAUGAGCUAAUUUAGCUUCUUAAAAAAUAAAAUCAAACAACUUUUACAUAGACUCAAAGUGAAAACUUGGAUAUAAAGUAUCCUUAUACUACUCUUUAGUCUUGAUUAGUCUCUGCAAAGAUAUUUAUAUGUACUUUGUAUUAUCAUAAGAACAUUCAUUGACAUUUUAAGUUAAUGAAUUACUAACAUGUCAACUCUUAUUCUAGCCAACAGUUACUUUGUUCCCUCCACAUUCUCUUUGAAAUAGUCAAACGUAUCCAAUCAUGCAUGUCUGUUCUGAUCAUAACAGCAAAAGCAUGUGUAUAGAAAAUUGAUAGUUGAAUUAGAGUCAUUUUCCAUAAAAAAAUAUUCAAUAAGUGUGACAUUAUUUUUCAUAUGAAUUAAUCCAUUUUUUGCUGAUUUGAGAUUCUUUCUUUCUUUGCUUCUUGCUUUCCUUCAUCAGCCAUUAUUUUUGUUUUCUCUUUCUCUCUCUCUUCUUGAUUCAAUGAAUCUCAAAAAUGGAUUACUAUUGUUCAUUCUGUUUCUGGAUUGUGUUUUUUUCAAAGUUGAAACCAAAUGUGUAAAAGGGUGUGAUGUAGCUUUAGCUUCCUACUAUAUUAUGCCAUCAAUUCAACUCAUAAAUGUAUCAAACUUUAUACAAUCAAAGAUUGUUCUUACCAAUUCCUUUGAUGUUAUAAUGAGCUACAAUAGAGUCGUAGUAUUCGAUAAAUCUGGUCUUAUUUCCUAUACUAGAAUCAACGUUCCGUUCCCAUGUGAAUGUAUUGGAGGUGAAUUUCUAGGACAUGUGUUUGAAUAUACAACAAAAGAAGGAGACGAUUAUGAUUUAAUUGCAAAUACUUAUUAUGCAAGUUUGACAACUGUUGAGUUAUUGAAAAAGUUCAACAGCUAUGAUCCAAAUCAUAUACCUGUUAAGGCUAAGAUUAAUGUCACUGUAAUUUGUUCGUGUGGGAAUAGCCAGAUUUCAAAAGAUUUUGGCUUGUUUGUUACCUAUCCACUCAGGUCUGAUGAUACUCUUGCGAAAAUUGCGACCAAAGCUGAUCUUGAUGAAGGGUUGUUACAAAAUUUCAAUCAAGAUGCCAAUUUCAGCAAAGGAAGUGGGAUAGUGUUCAUUCCAGGAAGAGGUAUGUAUUUUCUCAUUUUCUGCCAACUGUGGUUGGCACAGAUGGUUUGAACUUCUGUCACAUCCGUUGUAACUUUGAUAAGUCUGAAAUUCCGCAGUUUGUAGAUUAUUGGUAAAUUCCAUUAUAAAUGUUUAAUGCGAUUUGGUGAUUCUUAUCAAAAGUACUUGUAUAAGUAUGCGAGUUAGAUAAAAAAAAAUUAUGACCAUCUUGUUCUCGUGGAAAUGGACUCUGAUAAUUCAUAAAGUCUAGCCAAUGAUUGUAACAACCAGGUUUUGAACUUAGUACUUCCAAUCAACUUGACCUUCACCGGACCUCAUUGACCACUCGAGUCGAACCAUUUAAUUUCAGUUAGAGUAUAUUUAAAUGCUAAGUUACUCUAUUAUUUUUCAAAGUAUAUACAUGGAAUAAAUUGAACUAUGAUUGGGUUUAAAUUCAGGUUACAUUUUUUAUUUUACUGAUAUGAAAAAAACUACAGUAUCUUUUUAUAGAAAAAAACUACACUAUAUUUGUUAAUGUAUAUACAGUGUAAACAUGUAAAAUUUAAAUAGAAGGCAAAAUUGAAAAUUUUCAAAAAUAUAUUAAUUGCUUGACCAUAUUAUCCAAUUUAUGCUAUAGGUAGAAUGAAGUUGAUGAACAUGUUUUAUUAGUGAACCUGACAUUCUAGUUUAUCAUGGAUGAGUAAUCAAUAAAUGAUAAUAUUACAUCUAACUUUUUAAUUGUUUGUUCCUCUAUGUUAUUGAAAAAUGCAUUAAGUGAUGUUUUUUUGUUUAUUGAUUGAUAUGUUUGCAUUUUAUGUAUGACUAUUUGUUCUUUUGUUUUAUUUUUUAUUCCUUUAAUUUUGCAGAUGAAAAUGGAGUUUAUGUUCCCUUGCCCUCUAGGUAAGUUUCAUUGUGUUAGCCUUACCUUUCAUACUUAUUACUCACAGCAAUGAAAAUUCAUUUUUUUCCAUUUCGUUUCCCUUCUUGCAGAAAAGCAGGUUUCACCUUCAAACUUACCAGAGAAUUGGCUAUAUUGAUGAAUAUUUAUUUUUGCAUGUUCACAGUCAUAUGAAAAUUCAAAGAAAGCUAAGUGCCUCUCUGAACUUUAAUUUCUAUAUAUAUAAAAUCAGGUCACUUAGCUAGAAGUUUAGUUGCUGCUGGAAUAUGUAUUCGAGGAGUAUGCAUGGUUCUGCUAUUAGCAAUUUGUAUAUAUGUUAGAUACUUUCGCAAGAAGAAUGGAGAAGAGUCUAAAUUGCCACCAGAAGAUUCUAUGUCACCUUCAACUAAAGAUGGUAUAUGUACAACUUUCGUACUCAAAUUCCUUGCAUGACCCUUACCUCUUAAAUAUAGUGAAUGAACUGUUCCAUUAUUCAUGAGUUCAACUUAUUUUUUACCUCCCAUAGGUGAUAAAGAUAGCUAUAGUGAUACUAGAUCCAA
rnacentral:lncRNA from 1 species